GGAUGGGGCGAAGGUGCGGGAACGUCCACUCCCGCGCGCCCCUCUCGGGGACCAGGGCGGCCUCCCAGGAGGAGCUUGGUGAGCAGCUGCGACCUGUGCAUAACUUGGGGCGCCGCCAGGGGCUCGCAGGUUCCACGUCCGGCGCCUGGAGAAGGAAGACGCGCGUCCCCGGCCGCGGCGCCGAAGCCGGCUGGGGGACCGCCUGGUCCCGGGCCAGAGCUGGGAGGCGGUGUUCCGUGAGCCGCCUGGUCUGGGGUGCGGGGGGCGGGAAGCGGCCCCUUCGUGUGCGCUUGGGCGAGGCCGGGCGGCGCUUCUGUCCUCCUACUCGGACCCGCAGGUUUCUGGUCCUCAUACCGUGUGGUUGAGUGAAAUCAAAACUUCCACGAUAGCAAUGCUGAUUGGACAAAGAAUGUGUUGUGGACACAAAACCAAACUCUGGAGGACAGAGGAUUCAUUCCAAGGUAGAGAUGGAUUCCUGGAAAUACCUCCUCAAGGCCAGUGUAGAGCCCUCAAUCACCCACUGCCCCCAGCUUCUCCUUCUCCCAUCUCCUGCACCAAGCAGGUCUCCAGGUGUUCCAGCUGCUGAUGACGUAAAGUGUGGAGUUGGUCCAGGAAGGUCAUGUUCCAUGCAGCAGAGGAGCGCUUUGUGUGAGAAGUUGAAGACCUGCUGUAACACAUCAUAGAGGAAAGACAUAGCCUGGGCCUUCUGCAACUGGCUGACUUCCACCUUCUCCUGGGGGAAUCUGAAGUCACUUCUGUCCUUUAGACACAAGAAGGGAGAGAUUCUCCUCAUUUGGCCCAAAAGCACCAAGGUGUUCCUGCCUAGCAGGCCAUGGUUCUGAGGCAGGUUAUAUCCUAGAGAUCCAGAAGAGCCACAGCUGCACACCUCUAGGGCUGCCAGUAGAGGGAAGAGGAGGGCCAUUGAGAAAUCAGGAUGCUUUUGGCCUGGUUGAGCUGAGGUCUUCAUAGAACCUUGGAUCCUAGGUUCUAUGAAGACAUUCUAUCUAUGCAUGGCUUUAAUGGAGCACAAAUAGUUUUCAUUUUUCUGAGCAUUUCUCUAAAUUUUUAAUUCCAUUUAUUGUUUUCAUUUACAUGUCUUCUAUAUCAGCAUCCACAACCUUUUGGCCACCAGUUUGGUGGAAGAUAAUUUUUCCACGAAAAAUGGGGUCAGGGAGGGAAUGCUUUCAGAGGCAUUAGAUUCUCAUUAGGAGACCACAACCUAGAUCCUUCGCAUCUGCACUUCACAAUAGGGUUCCUGCUCUUUUGAGAAUCCAAUGCCACUGCUGAUCUGACAGGAGGCAGAGCUCAGGCGUUAAUGCUUGUUGGUUGGCCUGCUUGCCUCCUGCUGUGCGGCCCUGUUCCUACCAGGCCAGGACCAGUACCCCGGUCCAUGGAUGGGGGUUGAAAAACCUUGUUCUAUAUGACCUAAAAGGAGGUCAUCACUCUACACUCUUGAUUUUUGCAAUGGAUGUUCAAUAUUCCCAGUAAACUUAAGAUAUAUCAAUCCAAAUGAAUAUUGAUCAAUCAGAUGAGAAACAUCUUUGUGCUACUGUUAGAAGUAUAUACUUUUAGCCCAGAUCCUAGCCUCCAGUUUUACCCUCCAUUUUGCAUAGGAAAUCAGGAUCCCUGGGCCCUAUGGGUUUCUGUAUUCAGUUAGGAAAUUACCUAUCUCUGGAAAUUAAACUUUUUAGGACUAUCUUUGUUUGAUAUUUGAUUCACAGAAGACGUUGAUGGUUAUUAGUGAAAGAACUUCUCUGGUGCUUCCCUCCUUCUAGAAUAUAUUCAUUCAGGUUCAUGUGGUUAUGCUUCCCUGGGGGCUCAAGCUUAGAUCAAUGAACAUUGCCUUUUUUGCAUUAUUUUCUUACUGGAGAAAUAUAGCACUCCUCAGGCUGCGCCAAUACCCCUAAAAGAAAUUCUGUUGGUUUGUUUUUUUUUCUUUUUUAAGAUGCAUAUGGGUGUGGAAAUUUUAAUCUUAAAAUAAUGUUAUUUCCUCAGCAGUGAUGAUUCACAAGGUAUUUAUCACAUCAAGUCACUCCCUAAAUGCAGGCUCACCACAUCCUGAUGACUUUAGAACUCCUUUUCCAGGGAGGUUCUUGCUUCUUUGUUGCCAAAACAAUAA
ensembl:lncRNA MIR31HG MIR31 host gene